GCUGGCGUAGCUCAGCUGGCAGAGCAGCUGACUUGUAAUCAGCAGGUCGUCGGUUCGAAUCCGACCGCCAGCUCCA
rnacentral:tRNA from 3 species